UACGUAGGGGGCAAGCGUUGUCCGGAAUCAUUGGGCGUAAAGCGCGUGUAGGCGGCCCGAUAAGUCCGCUGUGAAAGUCCAGGGCUCAACCCUGGAAUGCCGGUGGAUACUGUCGGGCUCGAGUCCGGAAGAGGCGAGUGGAAUUCCCGGUGUAGUGGUGAAAUGCGUAGAUAUCGGGAGGAACACCAGUGGCGAAGGCGGCUUUCUGGCCUGCUCUUGACGCUGAGGCGCGAAA
rnacentral:rRNA from 1 species